rnacentral:tRNA from 1 species
GCCUGGCUGGCCCAGUCAGUGGAGCAUGUGACUCUUACUCUCAGAGUUAUAGGUUCAAGCCCCAUGUUGGGUG